GAAAGCAGGUGAGGUGAUCGCGGCCGGCGCUUCGCUCCCACGGGAGCCGAUCAGCCGGCUGAGGAAAGUCCGGGCUCCCCAAGGACCAGGCCUGCCGGGUAAUCCCCGGUGCGGGCGACCGUGAGGACAGUGCCACAGAAACACACCGCCGAUGGCCGCCGGGCCUGCCCGGCGGCACAGGCAAGGGUGCAAGGGUGCGGUAAGAGCGCACCAGCGGCAUCGAGAGGUGCCGGCUCGGUAAACCCCGGCCGGGAGCAAGGCCAGGGCUUCGGCCCGGGAGACAAGGGUUGGUCCUUUGCCCGUCUCCUUCCAUCAGAGCCGCUCGAGACCGCCGGUGACGGCGGUCCUAGACAGAUGGUCACCCCCGCCCCGGCCUCCGGGCUGGAGCGGUGAACAGAACCCGGCUUACGUCCUGCUUUCCCCC
rnacentral:RNase_P_RNA from 1 species